rnacentral:rRNA from 1 species
GAUGAACGCUGGCGGCGUGCCUAAUACAUGCAAGUCGAGCGAAGCGGGGACGGGUGAGUAACACGUGGAUAACCUCCUCUAAGACUGGGCUAACUUCUGGAAACCGGAGCUAAACCGGCUACUUAUAGAUUGCUCCGCGCUGCAUUAGCUAUUUGGUAAGGUAACGGCUUACCAAGGCAACGAUGCAUAGCCGACCUGGGAGGGGGUUAGGCGACACGGGAACUGAGACACGGUCCGGACUCAUACGGGAGGCAGGAGAAGGGAAUCUUACGCAAGGGGCGAAGGCCUGACGGGGAAACGCCGCGUGAGUGAUGAGGGUUUUCGGAUCGUAAAACUCUGUUAUUAGGAAAGCGGUACCUAAUCAGAAAGGCACGGCUAACUACGUGCCAGCAGCCGCGGUAAUAC